GCGCCAGUAGCUCAAUUGGAUAGAGCGUUUGCCUCCGGAGCAAAAGGCUGCGGGUUCAAGUCCUGCCUGGCGCG
rnacentral:tRNA from 1 species